AUUGAACGCUGGCGGCAUGCCUAACACAUGCAAGUCGAGCGGAUGAAGGGAGCUUGCUCCUGGAUUCAGCGGCGGACGGGUGAGUAAUGCCUAGGAAUCUGCCUGGUAGUGGGGGAUAACGUCCGUAAACGGGCGCUAAUACCGCAUACGUCCUGAGGGAGAAAGUGGGGGAGGUCGGGCCCCCGCGUAACCAGAUGGUCCGGGAUCGGAUUACCAAGGUGGUGGGGAAAAGCCCGACCAAGGGGAGGAUCCGUAACUGUCCGGGGCGGAGAAGAGGCCACAGUGGAAGUGAGACACGGUCCACACUCCUACGGAGGGAAGCAGUGGGGAAUAUUGGACAGUGGGCGAAAGCAUGAUCCAGCCAUGCCGCGUGUGUGAAGAAGGUCUUCGGAUUGUAAAGCACUUUACGUUGGGAGGAAGGGCAGUAAGUUCAUACCUUGCUGUUUUGACGUUACCAACAGAAUAAGCACCGGCUAACUCCGUG
rnacentral:rRNA from 1 species